UCUCACUCUGAGUACUGUGUGUUUCAUCUGCCUUCACUCUCACAAUUAUUAUCAACUUGCUGGCUAUAAAAGGCAGGGGCUACAAACUCAGUGAGCCAAAUGCAGUGCUUGCUUCCUAUCUGUGGUCCAUUGCAUAGCAGUGUGCUUGGGUGCUGCGUAAGACAAUUCCCCCCAACGCCUCCAAAAAAUAGGACAUGGUCCACUGCAGGAGUUCAUAAUCUAGGAGUCCAGAGAGUCCAGGCUCAUCAUCCCUUCAGAAGAAAGAAUCUUCAGGCCUCUGCUCUUGUGAGAGUAAUUUCUCUUAACACCGACAGUGCAGCCUACUCCAUGUGCUACUUUCUCUCGCAACUUUGAGCAAGAAUGUUAGAUCUUUUGCUGGGGGCCUUCGGAAGCCGUGAGGGAGCAUAUCCUGACACCCACAUAGAAGACCUGGUACCUAUGUUUCCACAUCACAAAGCAGGCCAACAAGCACACAAGGCCGCAGACCAAAUUAAGAAUCAUCUGGAUGAGUAAGAACAGUUUGAAAGUGCCAGUGACGCUGGUACAGUCCGUCACAUCCCGGUAAACAAAGGUCCUGCUGAGCGGCUCCGAGGAGGGCAGUUUGCACUGGCAAGAGUCGAGUGUGGUCUCACAGGUAAACUGUGUGAGCUGCGAAUAGUGGUGGGCGGCAAAGGCCACGGCCAGCACACAGACCGUCAGGCCCAGGGCACUCAGCAGAAAGUAUAACAGCUGCAAGAAAGCAGAAGAAAACCUUUCUGGUUACAAAGAACAUUGGAUGAUGAUUUGCAAAGCGAAUUCAUCAAAACUGUUCUUUUUCUUCCCUCCCAGAAAUUUUCUGAUGGAAAGGCUGUCUCUUCUUAGAAACACAACACCCAAGACAUGGAAAUAGCUCCAUGUUUAUUUAUUAGUGGGUAGUUCUUAAACCCUGAUCACAUUUUCACUUGCCAUCCAGAUGUUGGGCCCUUUUCAAGAGUUGUGACAACCAUAUUAGCUGGACUGUGGAAUGUUUUUGUCUAGAUAUUGCCAGCAGUUUAGAUGAAUCCCAAACAAGCUAGCCAUCCCUGGAUGACAUGUUGUGCUUAUUUUGAACUCAAGAACUUCUGAUAUUAAGACUGAAACAAGACUAGGAAGUAAAGAACAGGUUUUUGUAAUGCAAACACUGUGUGGGCCAAAAUUAGCAAUGAUGGGUCAACUAAUAGCAUAAGUUAAUUUUUUUAAAAGACUACAUUCAAUGUAGUGAUUGCCAAACUGUAUCCAUAAACAUGAGAAUCCCCAGUAGGAGGUUGCUGGGAGAAAAUAAAUUAUGGCUCCAGAAGUCAAGUGACUCAACGUCAGCUUCAUCGCCUGUGAAACUUACCCCAAGCCCAACAACGACCAUGUGAUUCCUGAGCCUGAAAAAACUCUAAAUGGUUCCUCAGUCACCAAGGUUUUGAACACUGUUGGCCUCCAGAUUAGCUUUGGGAUUGAAAAAGUCUGGUUAAAGUUCUCGCUCUGCUGCUACAGGGCUGUGGGAACUCUGAACAAUUUAGGGAUUUAGCUUACACCUAAAAUAUUCUGAGCAAAACUUGUGGGUGUUCACUGACAUGGCCACAAUAAAAUCUAUGGAACAAGAAAUAUUUUUGUGAUUGAACUCACCUACUAGAAAUGUUAAUCUUAAUGGUCCACCUGCUGAGACUCUAGAGCUGCUUGACAGGGUUGUCUGGGGAAUACAACCUUACCCUGUCAAAUGCCUUUCAAUGUUUUUCUUCUCCUUCCUUACCCCCGUUUCAUCGUGUACCUGCAAUGGGACUCUAUUUCUGUAAAAGCAAGAUAAAGGAACACAAAAUGUACUCUUUCCCUAAUUGGAUAAAGUGAGAAAGGAUAUUAGAAAACCACCCAAUGGAACUGAUAAAAAUGAGUUGGAACUUGUGACCAGCAGCUGGAUGAGAGGAGUGUGAAUCCCCCAAAUCUUAUGGAUAUAGUGUGCUUUCUUUGAUGUUCCUGCCAAAGUGAGGCUGGAAAGCUAGGAAGAUCUGUAAGACGUGUGCCAGCACAAAGUGACUACAAUUCAAAAGUUCCAAAAACCUUGCUUGAAACAAUUGCAAAUAGCUCAUCAUUUUAAACCAGUGAACCCAAGGCUGAGUGUUUCAUCAAUUUACAGAAAACCAAGAAGAGAAAUCUGACAGCUAUCCCAGUGUAUGACUUACCAUGGAGAUCUUCAAAUAGAAUCACUUUGGUUUGGGUCUCAUUUUCAUAUUAUAACACAAAUUUGUGUAUGUGGGUUAAGAUUCAUAUUUGAUAGGAACUGCUGGGAAUUCUUGCAGUUAUAUCCUCAAAAGACAAAAUAAGCAUAACCAACAGAAUUGUGAAGCAAUAAAGUUGAUUAUGGAUGAAAACUGGGCUGAACAGUCAUAGGACAUGACUUGUUCCUUUGACCUAAAAUGUGCUUUUCUUUCCUUAUCUACCCAGUGUAAUGGUACUACUCUUUCAACCAUCUUGAAUUCACUCACACUUAUUCGUCAAAUCCUGCUCAGCUAUUCCCACUACCCACAAAGUGUACCUUUUUCGUAUUCCUUACUUUUUAUACAUUAGCUCAUUUUCCCCCAAACAAUGCAAUAAAGUAAAAAAUAUUACUCUAUUUUAUAGAAACUUGCAGCUCAGAAAGGAUAAGAAACUUGCAAGUUGAUCCAAAAUAAAUUUCUAAAAAGCAUCAAAAGGUUUCAUUUCUGCAUAAUAUUAAGGACUAAAUUAUAGGAAAACUCUCUCCCUAUAAAACACUGUAAAAUGCUGGAUAAAACGUAGCAUCCCUUAUAAAAUGAAAAAACAAUUAGCCCACUAGCACUGGAAGUCAUCAAGAAAAUUGUUCUGUCUCAACAGAUGCAGGGGGGCAGUUUGAGGUUUUUCUACUACUUUCCUAGUCCUGGAACCUAUUAAGAUGAGAAAGUAACAUGAAAGUGAUCCUGAAAAAAUAAACCAAAACCUGGCUAUUUCAAUAAAUAAAUUGUAAGGGGGAGAGAGACAGAGACAGAGAGAGAGAGACACAGAGAGAGAGAAUAGAAAGGAGAGACAAAGGGUAAAUUUUUGAGUAAAGGAAAUGUUAGAAAUAUAUGAGUCAACUGCAGUGUAUAGAUCUUAUUGAGAUCCUGAUUUUGACAAAUCUAGGAGGAACUAUUAAUGAGUUAAUCAUGGAUAUUUAAACAGUGGUUUGAUUCUAUUAAGAAAUUAACUUGUUAGGUGUAUUAUUAGUAUAUUGAUUAUUUUUUAGUCUUCAUCUUUCGACUUACAUAGCAAAAUAUUUAUAAAUAAAAUGAUAUAAAGUCUGGGAUUUAGUGCAAAAUAAUCCACUGUGUAGUGUGUGUAGUGUGUGGGUGUGGAGGAAAUAUAGGAGCAUACAGAUAAGACAAGAUUGAGCAUGAGUUGAUAGUUAUCAAGGCUCGGUGAUGAGAAUAUAGAGGUUCAUUAUACAAUUGUAUCUACUCUUGUGUAUGCUUGAAAUUUUUCAUAAUAAGUAAGUUAAGGAAACAAAGUGGUUCUAGGCCUGUAACAUCACUGGGACAUAUGGCAAGACAAACCCAUCUGGAAGGGUUGUACUCUCAAAUAGGCUAUAUCAAGUUAUCAUACAUAAAGCCUCUUGGAAGAUGAACUCACAAACCAAAAUUAGCAAACACUUGAAGAAUUAAUUAUUAGUGAAGGCUAGCUCUUACAUGCAUGUACACACACACACACACACACACACACACACACACACACACACACGCUCUAAGAAUCAGAGCUAUAAGAAUUCCAAAUAAUGGAAGUAAUGAGCAGAGCCUAUAAAAAGUACAUUCAAAACAAACACAUGAAGGAAGGAACUGAAAACAUAAAGAACAGGACAGUUUUUAAAGCACCAGGGAUAUGUGAAAAUAACAUCAGUAACAACAUCAGUGAGUUCUAGAAUGAAAAAUUAAAAUUGCUGGCAGUAAAAACUCAAAGGACAAGUAAAAGGCAGAUUAAACCUAAAUGAAGAAGGGAAAAGUGAACCAGAAAAUCUGAGAAAAUAACCCAAGAUACAGCACAGAGAGAUAAAGAGAGAUGAAACAUACUAGACAGGAUAAGAAAUAUGGAGGGAGAAUAAGAAGAUUCUAAAUAUACAUCUGACAGCAAUUCCAGGCAAAGGGAACAAACUUAAUUUUAAAAUUGAGUAUAGAACCCUAAACCCCAAAAUGAGAGAAUCCACAUUUUUCCCAAGCAUUCAAGAACUGUUUAUGAAGAUUGGUCACAAAAUAAGUCUAAUCAAAUAUCAAAUAAUUGAUAUGAAAAACACAUGAACUGAGCACAAAGCAACUAAAGUGAACUCAAUAAUCAAAAGACCAGAUAAAAGACAUUAGAGAAGACUCAAAUAAAUGGUGAGAUCAUCUUUGGUCAUGUAUAGAAAGUACAAAUCCCAGGAAAUUACCAAAAGUAUUUUUCUUGGAACUUGAAAAGCCUAUUCUAAAGUGUAUAUGCAAGAGAAAAUGGCUAAGAUUCACUGAGAAAAUUUUGAAGAAGAAUAAAAUGAAGGAGGGUGGGUUGGGGGUGGGCUGCUUAUCCAUCAUCUUUAUAACAAGAUGCAUUAUAGCAUCAUUUUAAUUUAGACAAUGGUAUUGGCAUAGUGAUAGCCAAAUAAAACAAUAGAACUAAGGAAAAUCACAAAGCAAAUCUAAUAUGGAAACUUGACAGAUGAUAAAUGGGUGUAACAGAUCACUAUGAAAGGGACCGAUUAUUUAUUAAACGGUGCUAAAACAAUUAUCAAUCCAUGUGAGAAAAAAUGUAUGGACCCUUCACAUCAUUGCAAAAAGAAACCACUUAUAAUAAAGAUAUGAAUACCCAAAAGCAAACCUUUAACAUUUUUAGAAAAUGGUAUAGAAAAAUAUUUUUAUGGCCUUGGAGUAGGGAAAAAUUUCUUUAAACUACAUCAAAUCCAUAAAAAAAAGAACUGAUAAAUAUAAAUAUAUGAAGAUUAAAUCUUUUUUCAUAACAAAACACCAUAAAUAAAAGAUAUGAUACCAACCAGAAAAAGAUAUUUGUAGUACCUAAAACCAUAAAGAUUAAGUAACAAAAGUAACAAAUCCUAUAAAUAAAUAAGAAACGAACAACCCAUAGAAAAUAUUUUUUGAAUAAAUAAAUGAUAGAACACAAAAUAAAAUGGCCAAUCAACAUAAAAUAUGUUCAAUUCCAGUAGCAACACCAAAAUGCAAAUUAAAACAAGAUACCAUUGCACACAAAUAAGAUAGGUAAAGAACUCUGAUUUACCACUGGUGGAGGUGAGGUGUAAGUUAGUCCAAUUUGGAUUUGUGGUAGUGACUUGGCAAUAGCUAGUAAUUUGACGAUGUCUAUAUCUUAUGACCCAACAAUUUGACUUCUAGGAAUAUGCCUUAACAAGACUUUAUGUGCACAGGGAGUUAUAGACAAGAAUAUCCACUGUAACACCGUAAAUGCAAAAUAAAAAAUCAUUUUUGAAAACAAAUUUUCUUCAACAAGAGAAUGAAUUAACUGUUAUAUAUCCCCCCCCCCCACCACCACCACUUUCUUUUGAGACAGGGUCUUGCUCUGUUGCCCAGGCUGAAGUGCGGUGGUGCGAUCAUGGCUCACCACUGUCUCAACCUCCCAGGUUCAAAUGAUCCUCCCACCUCAGCCUCCUGAGUAGCUGGAACAACAGGCAUCUGCCACCACACCCAGCUAAUUUCUCUACAAAAAGUAUUUUUUGUAGAGACGGGGUUUUGCCAUGUUGCCCAGGCUUGAACUCCUAGGCUCAAGCAAUCCUCCCGCCUUGGCCUCCCAAAGUGCUGGGAUUACAGGUGUGAGCCACUGUACCUGGCCAAUGUUGUAUAUUCCUAACAGUGAAAUUCAGUAUAGCAAACAUGAAUGAAUGAUAUCUGUGUACUAUUAUAAAUAAAUCUCAAAAACGAUGUUGAGCAGAAAUGAUAUGAUACCAUCUGUAUAAAAAUUAAAAUAUGACAUGUUGGUUAUGGAUAUAUACAAAUUUUCAAAGUAUGAAAACAGGCUUAUGCAUAAAAAAUACCAAAUUCAGGAUAGUACAUAUCUCUGGGGAAGAUGGGAGGGGUAGGGGAAUUUGAUUAAGAAAUGAAACAUGGGAGACUUCAAUACAAUGUAAUGUUUCCUUUCUUAAAAAAUAAUAAAAAAGCAAUUAUUACAAAAUACUAAAAUUUAGCAAAGCUAGGAAUGGAUAAGUGGGCAUUUUUUUCUAUGUUAUUAUGCAUUAUUUUCUAUGUUAUUAUGCAAUUGAAAUGUUUAUAAUUUUAAAAAGCAUAGAAUUGCACAGAAUUACUGACAUUUGUUCAAAUUCACAUAGAAAUGAAAAUUUAAAAAUCAUUACCAAAUAUUUUUUGGAAAAUGAUUCUACAUUAGUAGAGCCAGAAUUCUACCCUUACUCCAAAGCUGGAGUCAUUCCUCAAAUUUCAGACCCCCUCUCCUUUCUUUUUCUGAUCUUACCCUGAGGGUUCAUCAUGUUCUUCUCUGCGCUAGCACGGUACAUUGUUUAAGGCACCACCUUGGCAUUUUGUUUUUAAAACUAAAUUGCAGUUAGUUGUACCUGUGUUUCCUCACCCAGAGACUAAGCUCUUGGGGGCACCAUACCUGGUAUAUGAAAAUACAGAGGGAGAGUGGCUAGGGUGUGGCUUCUACUCCUAACUAACUCUUGUGAUGACUUACCAAAAACUAAUCACCAAGUUCUAUAAAUACUUAUUCUUGCAAAAUAAUCAAUUUCCAAAGAAUGUAAGAGAAUCAAAGAUUGUGUUCCAGCCUUUCUCAUGAAUCAACAGGAGGGGCAGAAUUGUUACAAACAGUAUUUGUGGGAAGAAAUAAACAACCUAUAGUUUAUUUGUUUCACUUGGGGAUUUUCAAGCCCUCAGAAGAGGGAAAGGAAUCUUGCUGAUGUGGAUUGAGCCUACUCCGGUGGUAUAGUCAUGGGCUGGAUUUCAUUACUUAGCCAUAAUUAAGUCAGUUCUCAAAUUAGGUCCCAUUCUAGAAAUGACUGCAGAGAUAAUUCUAUAUUAAACUCCUGGGUUCAUAUAUGUUGAAUAGUACAAUAAAUAUAAACAUAUUAAAUAGCACAGUGCAUAGAAAUUAUACAGUAAAUCAAUAUAAAUUGAAUUAUGUAACAUUGGAAUGGGAUUGUAAAUGAGAGAACCAUCUUGUUCAACCUUUAAAAAUAUUAUCAAGUGGCUUUUCUAAUUGAGAGUACUUUAUGAAAAACAGUAUGAGGGAACAUAAAGUAAUAUAUAUUAUAAUAUUACUUCUCCUUUGAAAGUGUUUUGUCCUUUUCAACAUGAGGAGGUCAGUGUCCCCAAGCAGCCUGCAGCCUCUCCUACAUUUCCCCCUCGCCUCCCAUGGCAACACGGGUUAGCCAGACACUGAGCUUUUUGUGAUGUGUGUGUGAGGACAGAGAGAAGGGGAGCAAAGCUUCAGGGAGGUCUUGAGGUGGAAAAAUUUGUGACGCACACGAUUUGGUGACUGAAGAAGAAUUCUUUCUUGAGGGUUCUAUAACACAAUAGUUACGGUCACCCUAUGUGCAUUUAAAAAUUCCUAGUUGGUCUCAAGCCCUUAAUGCACACCGAAGCCCUUUAAGAGGCUUCUCAAACUACUUGUUCAUGGAAAGAUUAUGAGACAAAGCCAACCUGUGUGGGUUUGGUCCUUCUGUUUCAGAACCUGACUACCAAAGAGCCUGGGAGAAGUACAUAAACUUAUUGAACAUGUAACUCAUAAACUAAAAGAUUCAAACUCUGUACACAGAAUUCUGUAUGCGGUCAUGAAGAAAUCCCUUCUCAUUUAUGAUCAUACAUUUGCCUUAGGGAGUCCGAGUUUGCCCUCUUCACUGCCUUGGGUGCCCCACUAUCUUCCUGAGGUAGGCACAGUCCUCCUGCAAGUUUCUCCCUGAGAGAAGAGCACCUCCAACCUCCAACAGAAUUGAUGAGGACUGAAAUGCUGUUGCCCUUGUCUUAGAAAAUGCCUCCUUCAUAGCUUUCCUGGCAUAGCUAAAUGUGAGAUAGGGCUAAGCCUGUGAGAUCAGGCUAAUGGCCUGAUAUGCAUGCCACACCUGAUACUUUAGAAGGAAGCCAGCCAAGGAAGUGUUUUUUCCCCCACUUAGUAAUAAAGCUAAAAUUCUCUCGCUCGUCAAAGUCUAGUUAACACAUUAGCAGCCCCCUCCCCCUUUUCUGGUCUCCUGUCAUUAUCUUCCAUACAAGAGAGAGGGCUUGAUAAUAACAUAUCUUAAAGGGGUUUUUAAUUGCUCCUUACAGUGAAUGCUGAAUCUAACGCUUUAAAAACAACUGAGUAGAAUGCCACUUAAAAGCGCUUCCUCCAGGUUUCUCACCACCUCUCUCAGUACCACGGCACUCCCAGCCAGGGGAGAGUUGCUCAUUUCUGCAAAGAUUAGAAGCAGGUCCAACAGAACUUCUUCAGCAGAAUCUGAGAAUGCUCAUUUGUGAACAAACUGUCUGCUUUCCAACGUCCCGUCACUUACUGGACUUUUGCCAGCCCCAGGAAACACCAUAAUGAAACACUCACAUUUAUGAAAUUCACAAUUAGGGACCGUGGCUCUAGCAACAUUAGCUCAGAGAGCAUCAACUUUAAAUAUGCUCAAAAAUCAAACUGGAGAGCUUACAGUAUCCCAUCGUGGCCAUCCCUUUUCGUUUUGGAACUGAGAUUGGACCAAUUGUUAUGAAAGGCUGCAUGUUUUAGUCUUCCCUGGUCUUUCCCUCUUGGGUGGCUUGGGUUUGUGCAAUACAGUACUUAGUGAAGGAAAAGCAGAGCCCAGCUCAGGACUUCUUAAGUGAGGGAACAGAAUCCAAUGAGAAGCCCUUAAAUGUGUGUCAAAAUGAAGAUCUACCAAAGAGUGAAGGCACCUACUAAAGGCUAUUACCUCAUAAGGCUCAAAGGGCGGGUGGGGGGUGCCCACAGUAUGCAAUCACCACCCCCCACAGGACAGCAGGCUUGGUCAAUGGCUGAACAUAUAAGCAUUCCCCAAUGGUACCACUCAGCCAGCCACCUUUGCAUCAGAAGCCAAAGUAUCCUUGAGCUACAUCUUGACAUCAGGAUACUCCCUGGAGCAUAAAGAAAUGCAGGAAUUUACAGCGUGGAGGUUCCUAAGCCUUAAAGAGUUAAUGCAGCAAAGGAAAUGCCUAAGUUAACCUUAGAAUUGUAUUCACUAGCUAGAUUUACUUGAUUUUAUUUUUACAGAAAUUUGACAAAAGAAGCAAUCUGUAAAUGCAAUGAAAACAGCUUCCUCCAUAUGUCUCACUACUGGCAUGAGCACGGAGCCGCGCCACCCCAUCGUACCUCCGUGUGUCAGAUUACGGGCUCAGAAUACCCCUCGGAAACACUCAGACUUCUAGCUGUUCCAAGAAAGCCGUAGGGCUUUCAAUAAUAAGCUGUAAAACGAGCUUAAGAGUCACUGAGGUUGCUGUGCAAAUGUAUAACCCUCACCGGAAAUGCUAUGGACUGAAUUGUGUCCCCGUAAGUCAUAUGUUGAAGCUGUAACCUCAAAAGUAACUAUAUUUGGAGAUAGGGCUUUUAGGAGGUAAUUAAGGUUAAAUAAGAUCCUAAGCAUGGGGUCCUAAUCCAACAGGACUGGAGGAUUCAUGAGAAGAGGAAGAGAAAGAGAUCUCUUCUUCUCUUCACAUGCAUGAACUGAGAAAAGACCAUGUGAGCACACAGCAAGAAGGCAGCCGCCUGCAAGCCAGGAAGAGAACCCUCCCUAGCCCCUGACCAUGUUGACACCCUGAUCUUGGACUUCCCGUCUCCAGAACUGUGAGAAAAUGAAUGUUUGCUGUUUAAGUCACCCAGUCUACGGUAUUUUGUUAUAGCAGCCUGAGCCGACUAAGACAGAAAGAAAAAUGUAUUUUAGUUAAUGCCAUAUGUGUAGGUGUACACAUAUGAAUUUUAAAAUUAACCAGGGUGAUGGAGUGAGCUGCUUCACUCAGGCAUCUGACAGUUACUCUUGCCAAGUUUUAUCUCAAUACACAGAGAUCUGAGACUGCAUCCAAAGCAUCUGAAAGAGGGUGUGCCUAUGGAAUAGGUUUUUAUAUAGCUUAUGCUGUAAAGCCUGUUCCUAGCAUCUAUUUUUUUAAAAGAAGUUCACUGUAAGCUUAUGAACUCAUCGUGAUAAACCUAGACUUGAACAUUUACAGCAAAUAAUAACUGGAAGGUUAAACUAUGACAUCAUGAGGUCCCAUCCAGCUCUGGAUUUUGAUGGACAUUUUUUGACCAGUACUUCCUUAGUUUGCCAGGAUGGAAGACCUAAAAAUGAACUGCAUUUUGCAGUGAAUUAUACCUAAUUAAAGUUUAAUGACUAGAUUACAUUCCUGUCUGAUAUGGUUUGAUUCUGUGUCCCCACCCAAAUCUCUCUUGAAUUGUAAUCCCCAUGUGUUGAGGGGGAAACCUGGUGGAAGGUGGUUUGAUCAUGGGGGUGGUUCCCCCUAUGCUCUUCUCAUGAGAAGAUGAGAUAGUGAGUUCUCAUGAGAUCUGAUGGCUUAUAAGUGGCAGUUUCCCCAGUGCUCUCUCUCCUGCAGCCCUGUAAGAUAUGAUUUGCUUCUCCUUUGCCUUCUGCCAUGAUUGUAAGUUUCCUGAGGCCUCCUCAGCCAUGUGGAAUUGUCAGUCAAUUAAACCUCCUUUCUUUAUAAAUUAGUCUCACGUAGUAUCUUUAUAGCAGCGUGAGAACAGACUAAUACACUAUCCUACAGUAACAUAGAAACAUAUAUGCUGAACUCUUCAACAUAACCUUAUGUGUUUCCUUUUAAUGUUAUCAUUAACCCUUCAGGCCACAAUACAACCAAGUGGAUCCAGUGAAAGACCAUCCUUAAUAGAAAUGUCUCAGAUACAGCUAAAGGCAAGAGCAAAUCUAGAAAACACCCAUUUUCUCAGACCACACUGAAAGAGGGCAUCAUAUUGGCAAUCUAUCUAUUCAACUGUUAGACCAAACAUUAGAGAAACCUAUGCCAUUGUUUUCUUCGUAAAAGGUUAAGAGUGGUAAUAUCAACAUCUAGCAUUCAGCCACAUCAAUCCUAAUAUGUCCUAUUCUAGUUAGGAGAGUGCAUAUAAGUCAAAUGACCUUCCUGAGUCCUGCCAUUUUAUAACAUGAAAUAAAAAAUCUAAGUAAUGUUAAGUUAAUAUGUUCUGAAUUCUUCUAGAAUCCAGAAGCCAAAAUGGAGUAAUAACACAUUCCUUACUAUUACCUCAUAGUUGUCUUAAAUGUCAUAAAUAAAUUUGUCUGUGUUUGAAUAUACAACUACAGUCAGCCCUCUGUAUCAAUGGGUUCCAUAUCCAUGAAUAUAAUCAACCACGGAUCAAAAACAUUUGGAUAAAAAAAGGAUGGUUGUGUCUGUACUGAACAUGUACAGACCUUUUCAUGUCAUUAUUCCCUCAAUAAUAUAGUGUGUCAACUGUUUACAUAGUAUUUAUAUUGUAUUAGGUAUUAUAAGUAAUCUAGAAAUGAUUUAAAGCAUAUGUAGGAUGUGCAUAAAUUAUAUGCAAAUACUACACCAUUUUAUAGCAGGGACUUGAGUAUCUGUGAAUUUUGGUAUCAGGAGUCCCAGUACCAAUCCCCUGCAGAUACUAAGGGAUGACUGAAUAUAGCUUAAAAAUGGGCAUAUGCAUGUUCAAACAGAAGCUCUGAUAAUGGCAAGUAUGGAAUAAAUAGAUUUCAGUUCAACAUUUAUUAAUUA
rnacentral:lncRNA from 10 species